ACCAGACUCCUACGGGAGGCAGCAGUGGGGAAUAUUGCACAAUGGGGGGAACCCUGAUGCAGCGACGCCGCGUGGGUGAAGAAGCGCCUCGGCGCGUAAAGCCCUGUCAGCAGGGAAGAAAAUGACGGUACCUGAAGAAGAAGCCCCGGCUAACUACGUGCCAGCAGCCGCGGUAAUACGUAGGGGGCAAGCGUUAUCCGGAUUUACUGGGUGUAAAGGGAGCGUAGACGGUAUGGCAAGUCUGAAGUGAAAGCCCCGGGCUCAACCUGGGAACUGCUUUGGAAACUGUUAAACUAGAGUGCUGGAGAGGCAGGCGGAAUUCCUAGUGUAGCGGUGAAAUGCGUAGAUAUUAGGAGGAACACCAGUGGCGAAGGCGACUUUCUGGACUGUACCUGACGCUGAGGCGCGAAAGCGUGGGUAGCGAACGGGAUUAGAUACCCCAGUA
rnacentral:rRNA from 1 species